rnacentral:lncRNA from 1 species
UGUGAUAUCCUCAGCUUGGAAUGGUUCUGGAUCGUCCUGCACGUACUUUCCUGACUCCACGUAUUCGUUCUCCGAUCCCGGUGCUAUCCAACAUAAGAAUAACAGCCAAUGAACAGAAGCACCACAAGAUGCAACAAUCACAUGACGCAUGAGAUGAAAAGUGAGCAUGCACCACUAUUUCUAUCUCUAGCACAAGCAAAAUAAACUACUGCAAGUUUCUGGACAUAACUGUACACUAAGCUAUUUUGACAUGCAUGAGGAUGACAUGAACAGAUGCGGCUCGUGAAAACGAUGCAAAACCAUAUAAAGAACAUUGCAAACGGAGCUACAGAUCAACGGGAAUCAUCGAAACAAGAUAUGAAGCUCUACGUGGAAGAAUCAACACCACACCCACUAUUGGCACAAAUCUGGUAUUCCCAGGUUGCCAAGACAUAUAAAAACCGAACAUGAAUGGAUUGGAGCAAGGA